rnacentral:lncRNA from 1 species
CUUUAUUGAGGUGUAAUCAAUAUAGGAAAACUGCACAUAUUUAAUGUAUACAAGUUGAUAAAUUUGGACAUAUAUGCAUAUACCCAUGAAACUAUCACCACAAGAAGCGAGUCAUAGCUGCAUAUGGCUAUAGAUGUGAAAUGACAGGGGAGUGCUGAAGAAACUAUUGCUUAUAAACAGAAGGGACUUGCCUUGUCUCAGAUGAGACUUUGGACUUAGACUUUUGGGUAAUGCUGCAAUGAGCUAAGACCUGCGCUGAUGGAAAGGAAAAGGGACACACUGCAAUCCUGGAGGAGCCGCUCUGUGGAUGCAUAUGAAAAAUGGAAUCAUAGAUGCGCAAGGGAUUGAAUGGCGAACACAGAUGUGGCCCACAAAGAUCCUUAACAACUGCUGGGUGUACUGCCAGCAGACAGCCUUUAGAGAGGAGCCUCUUCAGGAAUUACUUCAGCUAUAGAGACCCACUUUUUCCAAGAUCAUGUCUUUCCAGGGGUGGUCCACAUUUAGCGACUGAUCUAGGCAAAAGUAAAAAAAGUUCAAGCCCUUUUAUCCCAAAGUGGGGCAACUCUGUUGGGCCAUUUCAGCUUUUAAAUUCCUUGUGGUGUUGGCUGAUGUUAUUGGGUUGGCCUGGCAGCCCUACAUACUCUUCUCCCCAAUCUUGUUUUUUUCCCUUUUCAUUCAUGGCUUUUGAUCUCAAGGCACUUCUUUUUUAAAAAAAUUUUUACCUCAUUUUUUUUGGACAGGGUCUCACUUUGUUGCCCAGGGCAGAGUACUGUAGCACAACCAUAGCUCAUUGCAACCUCCAGUUCCUAAGUCAUCCUCCCACCUAAGCCUCCUGUGUAGCUAGGACUAUAGGUGCAUGCCACCAUGCCCUGCAAAUUUAAAUUUUUUUUUCGUGGAGAAAGGGUCUUGGUAUACUGCUCAGGCUAGUCUCAAAUUCCUUAUCUCAAGUGAUCAUUCCCUCUUAGCCUCCCAAUGAGCCAUUGCACCUGGUCCCAAAGGCACUUCUUAAUAAGCAUCCUGCAUGCUAAACCCUGUCUAUAAAAGUCUUUAAGAAUUGGCUUUCUGUAAACCCCAGCCAGCAAUACAUAACUAUUUUGAAGCCUCCACAGAACUCUUGAGCAUUUGCUACAAACCAGCCAGCAAUCUCCUCCCAUCCAAGUUUUUCAGUGUAUAAACUCCAAUCUCUUCACAAAGUGUCAUCCUGCUCCACAAAGAAGAAUAAACUAGUUAUUGAUUAUGUCUUCUUUGCUUUCUAUACACUCCAAUCAAGCUGUUUCCUCCUUCAUAGUGUGAUGUGAACCCAUAUUGUAGGCUUUUACUCAUGAAAUGACUAUAUUAUUAAAAGAGAGAUUCUCUCAUCUCUAAGCCCUUCCUUAUGAAGAAAUUUGUAAAUAAAUUUAUUAAUGAAUUACCUAUCAUGUUUUUCUUACUCAAAAUAAAUCAGGUGCCCUAUAGCUGCUGAAGCCUUGCUUGCAUCUUAGUAAUAAUAAAGUUGGUGGCUUUAAAAUGAAUUCUAAAAAACUCAAAAUUACAUGUAUUUAUUCUUUUCAUUUCUUAUUCUCAGACUUGAAUUGGCUCACUAUUCAAAGUAUAAGUAAUGUAAACUUUUCAAGAUGAUGCUAUUCAUGAAUUGUCUCUUCUAAGCCCAAAUUACAUAAUUUUCUAGUUUAGAAAAGGCUUUGGUAUAUCUCAUUCCUAUAGCACUCAAGUUUAUCAUCAACUUUAUUGAGGAGAUUUUUAGAUUUUAAAUACUUGAAUUUUGUUUAAAAUAUCAGACACAUGUAAACUUGUCUGACUUUUAAUUUAGCAGGAAAAAAGCUUAAUAUUUCAACAAGACAUUUACCCUGAAGAGAAACAAUAACAUGGAAUAAAAUAAUUAGAACAUCUUUCAUUUAUUAGAAUAGUGAAAAUACAAAAACAAAACAAAACAUAAAAACAACAAUACCAAAUGCUGGUAAGAAUGCUGAAUACAUUCAUUGCUGGUAAGGGUGAAAAUGGUAUAGCCACUUUGGAAAACAGUUUGGUCAGUUUCUUGAAAAAAACUAAACAUAGCCUUACAAGUGGUCCAGCUAUCCCUUUUCUAGUUAUUUACUGAAGUAAGUUGAAAAUUUAGGCUCACCCCAAAAUCUGUACACAGAUGUGUAUAGAUUUAUUCAUAAUCCUCUCAAACUAGAAAUAACAAAAAUGUCCCUCAAAUGGUGAAUUGAUGAACAAAUUGUAUGUAGUAUAUCUAUAUAAUAAAAUAUAAUUCAACAACAAAAAGAUAUGUGCUGUCAAGCCACAUAAAAAAUGUAGAAAUCUAAUAUGCCUAUUGCUUAGUAAAAAAGCCAGUCUGAUAAGGCUACAUACUGUAUGAUUCUAAAUAUAUAGUAUUCUAGAAAAGGCAAAAUUAUAGAGACAAUAAAAUAUUUGUGGUUUCCUGGGAUUGAGGGGAAGAGGAAGAUUGAGCAGGUGCUACACAGGGGCACAUUAGGGCAGUGAAAGUAUUCUGCAUGAUAUUAUAAUGGUGGAUUCAUGACACUAUGCAUUUGUUAAAACCUAUAAAACUGUAACACAAGGAGUGAAGCCAAAUGUAAACUAUGGACUUUGGUUAAUAAUAAUGUAUCAAUAUUGGCUCAUCAAUUAUAACAAAUGUACCACAUUAAUGCAAGAUGUUAAUAAUGAGGAAGACUGUGAGGUGAUAAAGAGGGGAUAUAAGGGAAUUCUCUGUACUGUGUUCUCAAUUAUUGUAAACCUCAAACUUCUGUAAAAAUCCUAUUAAUAAGAUAAAAAGGAAAAUAUGUGUGUGUGUGUGUAUAUAUAUAUAUAUAUAUAAU